UCAAGUUCCUAUUGAGUUUAUGGUCUCAAUCGCUAGUUUCAGGUCUUUUUUAAUACAGCAUGAUGUUCAUUCAGUAAAUUGUAGUCCCAUUUAGAGGAAAAUAGACCUUAAAGCAGAAUAUGCUUCAGGGCGGGAUUAUUUAAGUCGUUGCCAUGGCAAUCAGGCUCAGGAGUGAUUCGUACCCACGGCACUGUGCAAAUUUAAACAGUGGCGUUGAAAAGGUUAUUAGGAGUUGGCGGUUCACUUUUUCUGCAGCGCUCCAGGACGCAGGAUGAGACACUUCUACGAACAAAGAAGCAGUGGGGAUAUCCGUCACUGUUUCCCCUUUCCUCUGCUACAGCGUUUCCUCUCAUGUGCUGCAGCUUUUUUCAGAUAAAAGCAACUCUAGUCACUGUCAAGUCAAGUGAAUGCAUAUUUUUAUGAUUUUCUUAAGUUUCAAGAUGUCACACUUAUGUUCUCCAAGAAAUGUUGAUUGAUGUUGAUUAAAAAUGUAUCUUUCAAAAGGCUACAUUCA